rnacentral:lncRNA from 1 species
CUAUCUUAAUAAUGGUUUUGGGAAACCCAUAUUAUGUCCAAACAUUGAAUCACCAUUUAGUUGUAGCUAGCAAUCUUCGAAUUAAUUGAAACUAAGACUACGUCAAAGAUGGUUUCUUCAAAGUCAACCAUUCUCUUUGAUUGUAGUCACCUUAAGCUACCAAUUAGCUAUAAAGGUUUCAUUAUUUUGGGUCAAAUGGUACUUUACCAUUUCCUUGAGUAUAUGUCGUAUAUACACUCAAUGUAGUCAUAAGGAUUUUCAUUCUUAUUUCUUUCGAAUUAAGAGGUGUAACUCUAUGACAUAGUCAUAAAGUUCAAACCAUUCAACUGAGACAGUUUAUAAAUCCUUCUCGACUACCUUGGAGCUUGUGGUGUAGGAACUAGGUUGUUAUAUUUGUUGAUUAUCAUCUUGUUUCUCAAAGAACCCAUUCUUUGAGUUCUAUCUCUUGUUCAUUUGCUCUAUCUUAGGCAAAUCCUAGUGUAGGAUUACAAUGAACUACCCAACAAACAACAUUUGUUAGUUGGUUUAUAGAAGUGAUAUCCAAAUGUUAAUUUAAGGAUAUCCGCAAGAUAAUUCUCAAACAAAUAUUGCUUAUUAGCACACAACCCCAAAUCUUAAC